ACUUGAAUAUUAGUAGUUAUGGUCUUUAAAUUCAAAGAAUUUGGCGGUAUUUUAGUCUUGUUAGAGGAACCUGUUCUGUAAAUGAUACAACACGAAGAAUCUUACUUACUCUUGUUUAACAGUUUGUAUACCGUCAUUAUUAGAUAACCUUUGUUGGGGAAGUUAUUGAAAUUUAAGAAGUUGGAGUAUAUUAGAUCAAGGUGCAGUUUAUGGGUAAGAAGUAAUGGGUUACAAUAAAAUUUAUUUAUACGGAUCAGCGAUUGAAUAGUUUCUGUGAAGGAGGAUUUAAUUGUAACAUAUAAUUUAAUAAGUUAGUGUGAUAUGAGAACUAAAAUAUGUACAUAU
rnacentral:rRNA from 1 species